rnacentral:rRNA from 1 species
AUUGAACGCUGGCGGCAGGCCUAACACAUGCAAGUCGAGCGGCAGCGGGAAAGUAGCUUGCUACUUUUGCCGGCGAGCGGCGGACGGGUGAGUAAUGCCUGGGAAAUUGCCCAGUCGAGGGGGAUAACAGUUGGAAACGACUGCUAAUACCGCAUACGCCCUACGGGGGAAAGCAGGGGACCUUCAGGCCUUGCGCGAUUGGAUAUGCCCAGGUGGGAUUAGCUAGUUGGUGAGGUAAUGGCUCACCAAGGCGACGAUCCCUAGCUGGUCUGAGAGGAUGAUCAGCCACACUGGAACUGAGACACGGUCCAGACUCCUACGGGAGGCAGCAGUGGGGAAUAUUGCACAAUGGGGGAAACCCUGAUGCAGCCAUGCCGCGUGUGUGAAGAAGGCCUUCGGGUUGUAAAGCACUUUCAGCGAGGAGGAAAGGUCAGUAGCUAAUAUCUACUGGCUGUGACGUUACUCGCAGAAGGAGCACCGGCUAACUCCGUGCCAGCAGCCGCCGUAA